rnacentral:tRNA from 1 species
GGGGUUGUAGCUCAGUGGUAGAGUGCUUACCUUGCAUGCAUGAGGCACUGGGUUUGAUCCUCAGCACCUCA